AAAUUUUUUAAAUUUUUUCUACUAUCUCAUUCUAUAAAUACCACAUCUCACACAUUCAUUUUCCACUCAACUAACUUCAUCUUAUUCAUUUUAUUAUCUUUCACUCUAUUUAUUUUAUAAAUAAUGGCAUCUUCGUCCAAUGAUUGCCAUAAUUUUUCUGUUAAAUUUGAAGGCCGCCAAGAACAUUUUAAGUUACCGAUUAGCAAAUUGAGUUCGCUUGCAGCUUUAAAGAAUAAGAUUGAAGAAAUGUUCUUGUUGAAAAACAAUGAACAUAUACAAAUCCAGCAUAUGGCUUAUUUAAAUUCAUGUACGGACAUCACAAGUGACUCCAUCGAAGCUACAACAACAAAAUAUU
rnacentral:lncRNA from 1 species